GACGAACGCUGGCGGCGUGCUUAACACAUGCAAGUCGAACGGAAAGGCCCUGCUUUUGUGGGGUGCUCGAGUGGCGAACGGGUGAGUAACACGUGAGUAACCUGCCCUUGACUUUGGGAUAACUUCAGGAAACUGGGGCUAAUACCGGAUAGGAGCUCCUGCUGCAUGGUGGGGGUUGGAAAGUUUCGGCGGUUGGGGAUGGACUCGCGGCUUAUCAGCUUGUUGGUGGGGUAGUGGCUUACCAAGGCUUUGACGGGUAGCCGGCCUGAGAGGGUGACCGGCCACAUUGCGACUGAUAUACUGUCCAGACUCCUACGGGAGUCAGCAGUGGGGAAUAUUGCACAACGGGCGGAAGCCUGAUGCAGCAACGCCGCGAUCGGGAUGACGGCCUUCGGGUUGUAAACCGCUUUCGCCUGUGACGAAGCGUGAGUGACGGUAAUGGGUAAAGAAGCACCGGCUAACUACGUG
rnacentral:rRNA from 1 species